UCAGAAACUACAAAUAGAAGUUGACGGGGGCCCGGCACAAGCGGUGGAGCAUGUGGUUUAAUUCGAUGAUACGCGAGGAACCUUACCUGGGCUCAAAUGUAUGUUGACGUAUUCUGAAAGGGAUACUUCUUCGGACAAUAUACAAGGUGCUGCAUGGUUGUCGUCAGCUCGUGCCGUGAGGUGUCGGGUUAAGUCCCAUAACGAGCGCAACCCCUAUCAUUAGUUGCCAUCAGGUCAAGCUGGGGACUCUAAUGAAACUGCCUACGCAAGUAGUGAGGAAGGUGGGGAUGACGUCAAAUCAGCACGGCCCUUACGUCCAGGGCUACACACGUGCUACAAUGGCCGGUACAAAGGGCAGCUACCUGGUGACAGGAUGCUAAUCUCAAAAGCCGGUCUCAGUUCGGAUUGCAGGCUGAAACUCGCCUACAUGAAGUUGGAGUUGCUAGUAAUCGCGAAUCAGAAUGUCGCGGUGAAUGCGUUCCCGGGUCUU
rnacentral:rRNA from 1 species